rnacentral:rRNA from 1 species
CCUACGGGAGGCAGCAGUGAGGAAUAGUGGUCAAUGGGCGUAAGCCUGAACCAGCCAAGUCGCGUGAGGGAUGAAGGUUCUAUGGAUCGUAAACCUCUUUUAUAAGGGAAUAAAGUGCGGGACGUGUCCCGUUUUGUAUGUACCUUAUGAAUAAGGAUCGGCUAACGCCGUGCCAGCAGCCGCGGUAAUGCGGAGGAUCCGAGCGUUAUCCGGAUUUAUUGGGUUUAAAGGGUGCGUAGGCGGCCUUGUAAGUCAGCGGUGAAAGUCUGUGGCUCACCCAUAGAAUUGCCGUUGAAACUGGGAGUCUUUAUUAUGUUUGCGUCAGGCGGACUGCGUGUUGUAGCGUU